CCUACGGGGUGCAGCAGUAGGGAAUCUCCCGCAAUGGACGAAAGUCUGACGGAGCAACGCCGCGUGAGUGAUGAAGGUUUCCGGAUCGUAAAGCUCUGUUGUUAGGGAAGAACAAGUGCAAGAGUAACUGCUUGCACCUUGACGGUACCUAACCAGAAAGCCACGGCUAACUACGUGCCAGCAGCCGCGGUAAUACGUAGGUGGCAAGCGUUGUCCGGAAUUAUUGGGCGUAAAGGGCUCGCAGGCGGUUUCUUAAGUCUGAUGUGAAAGCCCCCGGCUCAACCGGGGAGGGUCAUUGGAAACUGGGAAACUUGAGUGCAGAAGAGGAGAGUGGAAUUCCACGUGUAGCGGUGAGAUGCGUGGAGAUGUGGAGGAACACCAGUGGCGAAGGCGACUCUCUGGUCUGUAACUGACGCUGAGGAGCGAAAGCGUGGGGAGCGAACAGGAUUAGAUACCCUCGUAGUC
rnacentral:rRNA from 1 species